CAGCAACAGAAGUUCUGCAUUUGAGUCUUAGCUGAUUGGAACAGCAGGGGAGACAGUGAAAUUAGUAACAGGCAAAGAGAUGCUCCACGUUGGUCUUCAUCAUCAUUUAAAAAAUUGCCUUUUGAGUGGAAGGGGAAGACGUGUUUUAAAAAGAACUUAACUUGUGUAAGCAAAUCCAGGGCUGCCACUUGAGAGUGCAGUUCUGCAGAGAAACACCUAAAGGAGAAGCUUCAUCUGAAGUGGCCUUGACCACCUUCCUCCCUGGGUGCUUCCUACCACCACAUUAACAGCGAUGAUCCAAUGGUGACGUGAUGGACCGUGACCGGAGUGGUGCGUCUCGGUGCUGUGAUGCAGGCCCAGUCAUCUCCCUCAGAAAGUCAUUCCCUGUGCAUGGCUGGCCUGAGCCAACUUACUCCGUGGCAACGUGCCCAUUGUUUGCUGUGAAUUUAGAACCUGAAGCUAAGGAUGAAAGCCCUUGUCAGCUGUGCAGCCACAGCGAAACAGAAGAGCAGGAGCUGCAUCAUGAGGGUUCGCCAGCACGGAUUCGUGUCUUGUGACGCGCGCGUGGACUCCAAGGCGACUUACAUUGAUAAGGCUUUAAGAAUGGCUUAUUAUCAUAGUUACACAGGCAGUGAGCCAGAGUCAGCUCGCUCUGACUAAUACGGGUGGUCUUUCUUGUUAACGUUUUGGUCAACUAUCUAAGGGGAUGCAAGGAAGUAGAAAGAAACCAUUUUGAAUAUUAAUGAACGAGGGAAAAUCACCGCUCAUCAGAUUACAAAGCCCGCACUCAUUCUGGUGAGCAGCAGCAAGAAGACGUUCCUACGUCUGCUUAGGCAGCAGAGGGAUAUUCCCUAUGGAAGUACGGGGGGCUCUAACAGUCCUGUCUCCUGUGGACGUUUGCGUUUUCAGUGCAUUUAUUUACAUUAGGGUUGUUUGUGCUGUAUUAUGCCUGAUUGAACCAAAGUCUCUUGGAGAGCAAAGCGCUUUUAUUUUGACAUUUUCACAUGGAAGUCAGCCAUCACCCCUAUAAGGAGAGUAAGC
rnacentral:lncRNA from 1 species